UGGUGGAGUGAUUUGUCUGGUUAAUUCCGUUAACGAACGAGACCUUAGCCUACUAACUAGUCGAUUCAAUCUUAAUUGUUUUUGACUUCUUAGAGGGACUUUUGUUUCAAGCAAAAGGAAGUUUGAGGCAAUAACA
rnacentral:rRNA from 1 species